rnacentral:rRNA from 1 species
UACAGAGGUCUCAAGCGUUGUUCGGAUUCAUUGGGCGUAAAGGGUGUGUAGGUGGCGCGCUAAGUCGGGUGUGAAAUUUCGGAGCUUAACUCCGAAACUGCAUUCGAUACUGGCGUGCUUGAGGACUGGAGAGGAGGCUGGAAUUCAUGGUGUAGCAGUGAAAUGCGUAGAGAUCAUGAGGAAGACCAGUGGCGAAGGCGGGUCUCUGGACAGUUCCUGACACUGAGGCACGAAGGCCAGGGGAGCAAACGGG